UGGUUGCAUUGACUGAAGCGUUUGGUAGGCACGCAUGUGUGAUCUGUGUGAUCUGCCAGCUCAUUUAAUGAGCUUCAUCCAACGCUUCUCCUUUUUUCUUAUUUUUAAUUCUGAUUUCUAUUUUCUUUUAUUUCUUUUAAUUCCAUUUUAUUUCUAAAAUUCAUAUCUCUUUCAUUAUUGGUCCAAAAAAUGUGAGACCAAUUGCAUUAUUUCUCUUUUAAUUUCU
rnacentral:lncRNA from 1 species